rnacentral:tRNA from 3 species
GCGCCCGUAGUGAAAAGGAUAUCACGUUGCCCUCCGGAGGCAGAAGUCUGAGUUCGAAUCUCAGCGGGCGUA